rnacentral:rRNA from 1 species
CUGUGAUGCCCUUAGAUGUUCUGGGCCGCACGCGCGCUACACUGAUUAAUCCAACGAGUCCGCUUCAAUCGAGGCGCGAGUGCUGGUGUCGGGGUCAAACCCGAUCCGCGUCGCUGUCCUCGAUCGCGCCUGGGCCGAUAGGUCCGGGUAAUCUUUGCAAAUUUAAUCGUGCUGGGGAUAGAUCAUUGUAAUUAUUGAUCUUCAACGAGGAAUUCCUAGUAAGCGCGAGUCAUC